CUGCACGGAGGAUGGGAUGUCAGGGCCAUGGGGGAAGAGCAGAGGCGAGCAUGGCAUGGGAAUGAAGGCUCAGUGCUCACGAGGCCGCGUCGGCGGCGUGGUUCAGGCGGAUGACUCUUGCUCGAUGGCGUGCAGCGGGAUGAUCUCUGCACCCUCGUCGCCUGCGUGGCAGGAGGGUCUGGGAACCAGUCUGAAGGACCGAGUACCCGCCAGCUACUCCCAUCUAAAUCCACAGCGUUGGUCAUGAAGCACACAUGGAUGGCACAGCUCCGGGUGCUACGGAAGAUUUAUAAUGGAAUAUGCUGACUACAGUAGAUUAUGUACUGAAGAACUUCCAUGAUUGAGAUCCUAUAGAGAUCAGCAGAGAAGGAUUUACGAGCAAAAAUAGCACCACAGGUGACUAGGGGCCCGAAUGUCCCAGGGUGUCAUGGUGUGCUAUAGUAGCCCUGUAGCCACGUCCAAAUUCAUGUUAAAGACAUGGAUGAAGUAAUCCUGAGGUCCUCCAUCACUAUCUAGAACACUUCACAUGUCCCGGCUUAAAUGAUGGGUAAAAUGUGGGACUGGAGUGGUGGCCUAGCAUGCUGAUUAUCCAACUGCAGUGCUGGCCUACCAUAUAGGCACUGGUUCUA